CUGAUUUUUUUUAAUUUUUUUAUUUGAUUUUGAAUUUUACAUACAUAUAUGAGUGGUAUUUUAAAUUACUACUGUAGACUGUAAUUAUUUUGCCAUGAAACUGAACCAGCGGGCGAGUUGAAAUAUUUUGUGAAAUCAUCUCUGAUAUUCUUCGCAUCAACAGAAGAGUUACCUCUGAUUGAUCUUUGAAGUUGCAAAGUAAUUUGUUGCUCAUUUCGCCAAGAACCAUCUUCGAAAGUGCCAUUGUUUGUAUUGUAUUGUAUCACCAAAUAAUUUCAAACUCUUGUAAAAUUUAUAAACUUGCGCGAAAAAAGGCAACCUACCCAUGCAACGAACAGUGGCACACUAAAACAUCGUAUUGACAGAGCUCGUAUUGAAGCAAUAGCGUAUUGAUGCACCUUCAAUCAUAUUGAUCAAUACGUAUUGAUCGUCUACGGGCUACUUUAGUUUUUCGACCAAACAGUCUUGUGGUUUAUUUAAUUGACUUCGCGUCGCGGUUGUGUGUUUUGAUUUUUUAAUAUACAUAUUCAUUAUUAAAAAAGUGAAUAAAGAAUUAUUAAACAAAAAAGUAUAAAUUAUUUAUAGUGAUAACAAAAAAGUGAAAAUGACGAGAAGCGUGGCAGCAGUAGGAAAGGAAAGUCUUUGCGAGUUAGAGGUCAAAAAUGGCAAUCAUAUUGAAAUUCUCAUUAGGAAGUGGAGAACAGCGUGGAAUAAAGUCUUUCCAAACUAAUAGGAUGGGUAAAUACAAGUACAAGUACAAUACAAAUGGUAAAUAAAAAUUCUAAACAAAAAAUUAUAAUAAAAAUUAAUAUUUUAAAUUUACUGACAUUUAAAUAUAUUGUGUUUCUUAUUUAUUUAUGGUAUCCACUGAAAUAAAGGUAGGUAAUAAAAAAGGUAGUGAAUUAUAACCGAAUAUAUGUAGCGAGGUAGCUAUUGAAAUAUAUUCAGCGCUAUGUGGUAAAGUAGCUAGCGAAAUAAAGGUGAUGAAAUCACUAGUGAGUAGUGUUAACUGGUUACCGUCAAUGACAUCGCCGUGUUAAAUUCAUGAGUGAAUUGCAUUGCCGGUAUUAUGGGGGGUAACCAGUGGUGGUUACCGGUAAGUAGUGAACUCACUAGUGUUUCACGGGUGAGCCGAACUGGCGGGGGCUGACAGUUGUGCCAAACUGAAAAAGAAAAUUGAAAUUUUCUCAGCAAGAAAAUUUAAAAUGAGAAUUUCCGAUUACUUAUUUGAAGGAAUUUAUACUAGAAAUUAAUACUUGACUAAAAGAGUAAGAGGAUAGCAAUGUUUACAACAUUAUAUUACAUUUUGCACUGUAUUAUUAGGCCCAUCAGACAGGUAGCUUAUAGCCCAGCAAGCGUCACCUAAUAUAUGAAUUUCAUGGAUGUCACUAGGAUUGGCAAACCAUUUACAAUUAGAGAAACAUCAAUUGGAGUAUCUGUACCGCAACACAAAUAGUGUCUAUACAGUAGGAGCACAUUCUAUUGGAAGAGGUUAUAACAGAAGUUAGUACUUGAUAAAAAAAAGGAAGAGGAUAGCAACGUAGUCGGCUUUAGUAUACCAUCCCACGAUUACAAGAUUAAAAUGGGUAUGGUUAAUUAGAUGUGAUUUUCAAAUUCUGAGUAUAUAAAUAUUUAUCUCAGCAAUAAAGAGAUCAAAGAACGAUAAUUCAGCAAACACAUCAAGUAUUUAAUGGAGAAGAUAAACAUAAACAAGUAAGGAAAGGCUAAGUUCAGGUGCAACCGAAUAUUUUAUACUCUCGCAAUUUAUUGAAGAAAUUUAACCAAUAUGCGAAAUAAAGCUCACCGUAUUUUUGAAAAACCUAUAAUUAGGUAUAUGGAAAUGUUAUGACCCGAUUUUAAUAAUUUUUGGAACAGGGACACACUAUUAGAAGACAACAAUUUCCUCUGAAUUAAAUUGAGAUAUCUGAGAGAUUUACCCAUAUUUUCGGUUAAAAUUUAUCCAUAGUCGCUGAGUUCAACAUGUUCGAUAUCUGGGGCCUUGAAAAGUUGUGGUCCGUUUUCGACAAUUUUUUCACAAGUGAAGCCAGAGAUGAUAUGCACUAAUUGUGUAAAGUUUUAUUCCGUAAUCUUCAUUGGUUCCUAAUGUUUACAUUAUAAAGUGAAGGAAUAAGAUGGAUUUCAAAAUUGAGUUACAUGGGAAGUUGUCGUGGUUGUGAACCGAUUUCAUAUAUUUUCCACACGUGUCAUCAUCAAAUUCAUUUCAAUCGAGUAGUUCCUGAGAUAUGGUUUUUGACCCAUAAGUGGGCGAUGCCACGCCCAUUUUCCAUUUUGUAAAAAAAUCUGACUACAGCUCCCUUCUGCUAUUUCUUCUGCAAAAUUUAGUGUUUCUGACGUUUUUCGUUAGUUAGUUAACCGACUUUUAGUAAUUUUCAACCUAACCUUUGUAUGGGAGGUGGGCGUGGUUAUUAUCCGAUUUCAACUAUUUUCAUGGUGUGUGGUGGGGUAUGUAAGAGAACCGACUGCAGAAAGUUUGGUUUAUAUAGCUUUAUUAGUUUGCGAGUUAAAUACAAAUAAUCGAUUUGUGGGCGGGGCCACGCCCACUUCCCCAAAAAAAUUACAUCCAAAUAUGCCCCCUCCUAGUGCGAUCCUUUAUUCCAAAUUUUACUUUUAUAUCUUCAUUUAUGGCUUAGUUAUGACACUUUAUGUGUUUUUGGUUUUCGCCAUUUUGUGGGCGUGGCAAUGGUCCGAUUCCGCCCAUUUUCGAACUUAUGGUGCCAAGGAAUAUUUGUGCCAAGUUUCGUCAAGAUAUCUUAAUUUUUACUCAAGUUACAGCUUGCACAGACGGACAGACGGACAGACGGACGGACGGACAGACAUCCGGAUUUCAAAUCUACUCGUCACCCUGAUCACUUUGGUAUAUAUGACUCUAUAUCUAACUCAUUUAGUUUUAGGUGUUACAAACAACCGUUAGGUGAACAAAACUAUAAUACUCUCUUGCAACUUUGUUGUUGCGAGAGUAUA